UACAGAGGGGGCAAGCGUUAUUCGGAAUUAUUGGGCGUAAAGGGCGCGUAGGCGGCUUGGCAAGUGGAUGGUGAAAUCCCUCAGCUUAACUGGGGAACUGCGUCUGAUACUGGAUGGCUUGGAUUCGGGAGAGGAAUGCGGAAUUCCAGGUGUAGCGGUGAAAUGCGUAGAUAUCUGGAGGAACACCGGUGGCGAAGGCGGCAUUCUGGACCGAUAUUGACGCUGAGGAGCGAAAGCCAGGGGAGCAAAGCGGG
rnacentral:rRNA from 1 species